ncrna:unclassified sequences GP20-b RNA
GGUCAGUAGAUGAGACCUUAAACAGUCAAUUCGUGGUGGAUGGUUACACACCUUAAACAACCUA